rnacentral:rRNA from 1 species
AGCGAACGUUAGCGGCGCGCCUAACACAUGCAAGUCGCACGAGAAAGGGAGCAAUCCCCGGUACAGUGGCGCACGGGUGAGUAACACGUAGAUGACCUUCCCUGGAGUGGUGGAUAACCUGCCGAAAGGCGGGCUAAUACAGCAUGGGACCACAUGGUUUUGACCGGGUGGUGAAAGCGGGCCUCUGUUCACAAGCUCGCGCUCUGGGAUGGGUCUGCGUCCCAUCAGCUAGUUGGUGAGGUAAUGGCUCACCAAGGCAUCGACGGGUAGCUGGUCUGAGAGGAUGACCAGCCACACUGGAACUGAGACACGGUCCAGACUCCUACGGGAGGCAGCAGUGGGGAAUCUUGCGCAAUGGGCGAAAGCCUGACGCAGCGACGCCGCGUGGGUGAUGAAGGCCU